rnacentral:rRNA from 1 species
CGCCACAGCCAUAUCACCCUGUAGUCCAAGACUGGUUGCCCACUGAAGCUAAGCAGGGUUGAGCCUGGUCAGUACCUGGAUGGGAGACCUCCUGGGAAAACUAGGUUGCUGUUGGAA